rnacentral:rRNA from 1 species
GACGAACGCUGGCGGCGUGCCUAAUUCAUGCAAGUAGAACGCACAGUUUAUACCGUAGCUUGCUACACCAUAGACUGUGAGUUGCGAACGGGUGAGUAACGCGUAGGUAACCUGCCUGGUAGCGGGGGAUAACUAUUGGAAACGGUAGCUAAUACCGCAUAAUAUUAAUUAUUGCAUGAUAAUUAAUUGAAAGGUGCAAUUGCACCACUACCAGAUGGACCUGCGUUGUAUUAGCUAGUAGGUGAGGUAACGGCUCACCUAGGCGACGAUACAUAGCCGACCUGAGAGGGUGAUCGGCCACACUGGGACUGAGACACGGCCCAGACUCCUACGGGAGGCAGCAGUAGGGAAUCUUCGGCAAUGGACGAAAGUCUGACCGAGCAACGCCGCGUGAGUGAAGAAGGUUUUCGGAUCGUAAAGCUCUGUUGUAAGAGAAGAACGGGUGUGAGAGUGGAAAGUUCACACUGUGACGGUAUCUUACCAGAAAGGGACGGCUAACUACGUG